GACGAACCGUGCGAACGUUGUUCGGAAUCACUGGGCUUAAAGGGCGCGUAGGCGGGCGACCAAGUCAGGGGUGAAAUCCCACGGCUCAACCGUGGAAGUGCCUUUGAUACUGGUGGUCUCGAGGGAGGUAGGGGCGUGCGGAACUUCCGGUGGAGCGGUGAAAUGCGUAGAUAUCAGGAGGAACACCGAUGGCGAAGGCAGGUCUCUGGGCUGACACUGACGCUCAUGCACGAAAGCGUGGGGAGCAAACAGG
rnacentral:rRNA from 1 species